UACGUAGGGUGCAAGCGUUAAUCGGAAUUACUGGGCGUAAAGCGUGCGCAGGCGGUUUUGUAAGUCUGACGUGAAAUCCCCGGGCUCAACCUGGGAAUUGCAAUGGAGACUGCAAGGCUUGAAUCUGGCAGAGGGGGGUAGAAUUCCACGUGUAGCAGUGAAAUGCGUAGAGAUGUGGAGGAACACCGAUGGCGAAGGCAGCCCCCUAGGUCAAGAUUGACGCUCAUGCACGAAAGCGUGGGGAGCAAACAGG
rnacentral:rRNA from 1 species